AGACCCGAAACCCGGUGAUCUAGCCAUGGGCAGGUUGAAGGUUGGGUAACACUAACUGGAGGACCGAACCGACUAAUGUUGAAAAAUUAGCGGAUGACCUGUGGCUGGGGGUGAAAGGCCAAUCAAACCGGGAGAUAGCUGGUUCUCCCCGAAAGCUAUUUAGGUAGCGCCUCGUGAAUUCAUCUCCGGGGGUAGAGCACUGUUUCGGCUAGGGGGCCAUCCCGGCUUACCAACCCGAUGCAAACUGCGAAUACCGGAGAAUGUUAUCACGGGAGACACACGGCGGGUGCUAACGUCCGUCGUGAAGAGGGAAACAACCCAGACCGCCAGCUAAGGUCCCAAAGUCAUGGUUAAGUGGGAAACGAUGUGGGAAGGCCCAGACAGCCAGGAUGUUGGCUUAGAAGCAGCCAUCAUUUAAAGAAAGCGUAAUAGCUCACUGGUCGAGUCGGCCUGCGCGGAAGAUGUAACGGGGCUAAACCAUGCACCGAAGCUGCGGCAGCGACGCUGAUGCGUUGUUGGGUAGGGGAGCGUUCUGUAAGCCUGUGAAGGUGGCCUGUGAGGGUUGCUGGAGGUAU
rnacentral:rRNA from 1 species